rnacentral:rRNA from 1 species
UACGUAGGGUGCGAGCGUUGUCCGGAAUUAUUGGGCGUAAAGGGCUCGUAGGCGGCCAACUAAGUCAGACGUGAAAUCCCUCGGCUUAACCGGGGAACUGCGUCUGAUACUGGAUGGCUUGAGUUUGGGAGAGGGAUGCGGAAUUCCAGGUGUAGCGGUGAAAUGCGUAGAUAUCUGGAGGAACACCGGUGGCGAAAGCGGCUCACUGGAUCUCUUCUGACGCUGAGGCACGAAAGCUAGGGUAGCGAACGGG